UACAGAGGUCCCAAGCGUUGUUCGGAUUCACUGGGCGUAAAGGGUGCGUAGGCGGUUUGACAAGUCUGAUGUGAAAUCCCGCAGCUUAACUGCGGAACUGCAUUGGAAACUGUUUGACUAGAGGAAUGGAGGGGAGACUGGAAUACUUGGUGUAGCAGUGAAAUGCGUAGAUAUCAAGUGGAACACCAGUGGCGAAGGCGAGUCUCUGGUCAUUUCCUGACGCUGAGGCACGAAAGCCAGGGGAGCAAACGGG
rnacentral:rRNA from 1 species